GACGAACGCUGGCGGCGUGCCUAAUACAUGCAAGUCGAGCGAGCGGAACCAACAGAUUUACUUCGGUAAUGACGUUGGGAAAGCGAGCGGCGGAUGGGUGAGUAACACGUGGGGAACCUGCCCCUAAGUCUGGGAUACCAUUUGGAAACAGGUGCUAAUACCGGAUAAUAAAGCAGAUCGCAUGAUCAGCUUUUGAAAGGCGGCGUAAGCUGUCGCUAAGGGAUGGCCCCGCGGUGCAUUAGCUAGUUGGUAAGGUAACGGCUUACCAAGGCGACGAUGCAUAGCCGAGUUGAGAGACUGAUCGGCCACAUUGGGACUGAGACACGGCCCAAACUCCUACGGGAGGCAGCAGUAGGGAAUCUUCCACAAUGGACGCAAGUCUGAUGGAGCAACGCCGCGUGAGUGAAGAAGGUUUUCGGAUCGUAAAGCUCUGUUGUUGGUGAAGAAGGAUAGAGGUAGUAACUGGCCUUUAUUUGACGGUAAUCAACCAGAAAGUCACGGCUAACUACGUGCCAGCAGCCGCGGUAAUACGUAGGUGGCAAGCGUUGUCCGGAUUUAUUGGGCGUAAAGCGAGCGCAGGCGGAAAAAUAAGUCUAAUGUGAAAGCCCUCGGCUUAACCGAGGAACUGCAUCGGAAACUGUUUUUCUUGAGUGCAGAAGAGGAGAGUGGAACUCCAUGUGUAGCGGUGGAAUGCGUAGAUAUAUGGAAGAACACCAGUGGCGAAGGCGGCUCUCUGGUCUGCAACUGACGCUGAGGCUCGAAAGCAUGGGUAGCGAACAGG
rnacentral:rRNA from 1 species